GACUGCUCUGAUUUGCUCUGUGGCUGCCGCCCGGUGGAAUUUAACAAGAAGAAGAACUUCAUGGUUUAUUUGCUGUGGUGGAUUGUCUAGUGUCCUCCCCAAAUCCCUGUUCACCCAGAAUCUUAGAAUGUGCCAUUAUUUGGAAGUAGGGUCUUUGCAGAUAUAAUUAUAGUAAGGUGAGGUCACACCAGAUUAGGGUAGAUCUGAAGUCCAAUGACUGGCGUCCUCAUGAGAAGAAGAAAGGGUAGACAGAGGCACACAGGGAAGAAAGCCAUAUGAAGGUGGAAGCAGAGAUUGGAAUGAUGUGUCCACAAGCCAAGGGACAUCACAGAUUUCCGGGAGCUAUCAGAAGCUACGAUAAAAGCAUGGAACAAAUUCUCCCCCUGAGCCGCCAGAAGGAAUCAACCCUGAUUUCAGAUUUCUGGACUCCAGAACUAUGAAACGAUAAAUCCCUGUUCUUUCAAGGCACCCAGUUUGUGGGGGAUUCUCAUGGCAGCCAUAGGAAAGCAAUACAAUUGCUUUCUAGAAACUGUAUGCUUUGGUUCAUUCCCUCGUUUUGUCCUGGAAUCUACUCAAAAUCACAUGGAGUGUUCCUCUUGGUGUUUGAAAACGGAUGGCUACUGAUAAGAGGGAGAAACGGACAUGAGAGACGUCAGCAAUGCCAAAGCUCCCGUGGUUCCUUCUUCUCUGCCUCUUACACUUUGGUAUUUUCUAGUCAGCUUAUUCUGGCUGGUUCUUACUACCUCAACACUGGUAAUUCCCUUGACUGUGGGUGUCUUCCUCUCCAUUCUCACCUGCUGUCCUCCUCCAUGUGAGCUAGCUCCAACAUCUUUUCUACAAAAGUCUUUGUUCUUUAUAACGCUACCUUGUACAUAACCACAUGGUCCAGUUGUGACUCCUCGGCCUUAGCCCAUUAACAGAAAUUCGUAAGAAGGUAAUGGCUGUGUGAAUAAAUGAGAAUUGUAGCCAAAUAGGCUGCCGGGGGUACUUAUAAGUGUAAGAAUGUUCUUGUUGGGAGAAGUAAAUGUCAUCACAUUUUUUAUUGUACUGGUACAGACGUCGAGGUGUGUUGGUGGUUUGUCCAAUAUCUCGUAACUGGUCAGUGCCAGGGUGGAGAUGAAACCAGACCAUCCUUCCAUUCGCUUCCCUGCUGUGUCAGGCAGGGAUGGACUGGCCGUUAUUCCACAGAUUCCUGUGGCAUAGAUGCCAACAAUAAGGAUUUGUCUAUCAGGUUGGUUUAUCUGGGAAAAUUUUAAAAAUUCUGCUUUUCUUUCCUUUCCCCAGCCUCGUUAUUAAGUAGAUGCCAGAUGGUGAAUUGCAGAUUGUAUUUCAAUUUGUCCACUCGCUCUGAAAUUUUAUGACCUUGGUUUCACAUCCACAGGGAAAAAUGUUUCCAAAGAAGCUUGAAAAUCAUUGAAGGGAUUGAAUGUCCCUCCAGUAGCCCCCUGGGAUACAUCUAGAGGGCACUGUUGAAGAUGCUGUGCUGUCUUACUCCCUGCCUCCCACGGAUUUUUCAUCCCGUGGGAUAAGCAAAGAACACAGUAGCCGUAACAUCACGCAGGAUAAAAGAGCCAUAACGAGAGACUAACGUGGGUAAUUUGCUAUGGGACACUUGACACAGCAGGAAAUGGGGGGAGCAGAAAGUGUAAGAACAGCUGGAACACCUGGAGAAAUGCUAUACUUGCACCAGACUGUGGAUUCAACAUCUUCAUUUUGUUUGCUACCUGGUAUUUGUUAUCUCUCUUCUGAUGUGUUAAGGUUGUUUUCGUUUUCGUUUUUGUUUUUGUUUUCCCUAACUUCAUGUCAAGCUUCUGGAUGGAAGGAAUGGUAUUUUGCCUCAUUUUAUCCC